rnacentral:tmRNA from 1 species
GGGGCUGACUUGGAUUUCGACAGAUUUCUUGUCGCACAGAUAGCAUGCCAAGCGCUACUUGUAAAACAGCAACAAAAAUAACUGUAAACAACACAGAUUACGCUCCAGCUUACGCUAAAGCUGCGUGAGUUAAUCUCCUUUUGGAGCUGGACUGAUUAGAAUUUCUAGCGUUUUAAUCACUCCAUAACCUUAAGCUAGACGCUUUUAAAAGGUGGUUCGCCUUUUAAACUAAGAAACAAGAACUCUUGAAACUACCUCAAGGUUUUAGAAAGUUGGACCAGAGCUAGUUUUAAGGCUAAAAAACUAACCAAUUUUCUAAGCAUUGUAGAAGUUUGUGUUUAGGGCAAGAUUUUUGGACUGGGGUUCGAUUCCCCACAGCUCCACCA